GAUGAACGCUGGCGGCGUGCCUAAUACAUGCAAGUCGAGCGAACAGACGAGGAGCUUGCUCCUCUGACGUUAGCGGCGGACGGGUGAGUAACACGUGGAUAACCUACCUAUAAGACUGGGAUAACUUCGGGAAACCGGAGCUAAUACCGGAUAAUAUAUUGAACCGCAUGGUUCAAUAGUGAAAGACGGUUUUGCUGUCACUUAUAGAUGGAUCCGCGCCGCAUUAGCUAGUUGGUAAGGUAACGGCUUACCAAGGCGACGAUGCGUAGCCGACCUGAGAGGGUGAUCGGCCACACUGGAACUGGGACACGGUCCAGACUCCUACGGGAGGCAGCAGUAGGGAAUCUUCCGCAAUGGGCGGAAGCCUGACGGAGCAGCGCCGCGUGAGUGAUGAAGGUCUUCGGAUCGUAAAACUCUGUUAUUAGGGAAGAACAAAUGUGUAAGUAACUGUGCACGUCUUGACGGUACCUGAUCAGAAAGCCACGGCUAACUACGUG
rnacentral:rRNA from 1 species